rnacentral:rRNA from 1 species
GGAGAAACUGCCCGUGAUAAGCGGGAGGAAGGUGUGGAUGACGUCAAGUCCUCAUGGCCCUUACGGCCUGGGCUACACACGUGCUACAAUGGCGGUGACAGAGGGAAGCCAACCCGCGAGGGUGCGCCAAUCUCGAAAAGCCGUCUCAGUUCGGAUUGCACUCUGCAACUCGAGUGCAUGAAGUUGGAAUCGCUAGUAAUCGC